GAUCUUCUCAACGACGAGAGGGAUCCUUCUGUUGAAAGCCCUCUGUGGCUUCUCAGCUCAUCCAGAGAGAGGAUCCACCCCAGGGGCCAAAGAAUUGUCAACGUGCACCGGAUGCCUCCGACUACCAAGCUUUUGGCGAUCCUCUCCAGCAGUGCUUCCUGUUUCCAGUGUUCGGUUGAAGUUUCUCGGCUCUGCGGUGCCAGACGCAGUGGUAUUGUAAGCAAUGCAAUCUGUGCGACAGAGGGGUUCUGAAAGAACCUUGAACUUCUCCCAACACGAAGCACUCAGGUGGUGGCUCCUGAGCUAAUCUCUGUGUGCCAAAGCGGCUGCCCUGGCAAGUCUGAGUCUUCAGCUCUGACAACUCUCACAUGUGGACCCUGCA